rnacentral:rRNA from 1 species
AUUGAACGCUAGCGGGAUGCAUUACACAUGCAAGUCGAACGGAGUGGCGAACGGGUGAGUAAUGUAUCGGAACGUGCCCAGUAGCGGGGGGUAACUACGCGAAAGCGUAGCUAAUACCGCAUACUAUUCGAGCGGGCGCUAUCGGAUUUGCUAGUUGGUGGGGUAACGGCCCACCAAGGCGACGGGCCGUAGCUGGUUUGAGAGGACGACCAGCGACACUGGGGUUGAGACACGGUCCAGACUCCUACGGGAGGAGGCAGUGGGGAAUUUUGGACAAUGGGGGAAACCCUGAUCCAGCCAUCCCGCGUGUGCGAUGAAGGCCUUCGGGUUGUAAAGCACUGUUGGCAGGAAAGCGGUACCUGCAGAAUAAGCACCGGCUAACUACGUGCCAGCCGCCGCGGUAAUAC